rnacentral:tRNA from 1 species
UCUUAAGUAGCUUAAUAAUAAAGCGUUACAUUGAAGCCGUAAAUAUGAGUCAUCUCCUUAAGUG